rnacentral:misc_RNA from 1 species
UGAAAUUAUUGCUUUGGUGUACUCUGUUAUUUCAAACAAAGCUACAAGCGGCAUUUCAAGCAAAAACUUCAAAUUAUCUACAACACGCAGUGUUCAACAGGACCAGGAUUCAAUCAAAGCCGCUGCAAUGACAGGAUCCUGUACAGAGAAUAAAAAGAAAACAAGACGCUUGAUAGAUAAUUCAUCUGGGUUCCUUCAAAUAGCCUCCAUCAUACAGUUUGGAGGAACACCUCAUACCUGAGAUAUAUAUAAUGUCAAAUCCUAGUAUUCUAAUAUAGCUAUUAUUCUGACUUGCAUCAAGCAACUCAGUAGUUGCUGCUUGGAGGGUUAAAAUUUAAGCUACCAUAACAGAACAGUUCAAUAUAAAGUUGCUUAGUCUGUUUCUGCCACACUCAAGAGGCCUCCAUUGCAAUUCCUCAGCUUCAGCAUCUGGGCAGCAGGUGUACAUAACCAUGCCAUCUCCUGAAUAAGAGACCAUGGAUGUUGAUGAACCGAUUAAAAGUAGCUCGUUGCCCAGAGACUUGAAGGCUACACCCCAUCCUCUUGAAGAAUCAGCUCGUACUGGGACUGGCCCGAACUUCCUCCAUGUUUUGGUCCUUUUUGAAUACACUUUCAGCUCAUUUGAUGAAGUCUCCAGCGAGUAAAGCUCAUUGUUCACAACAGCAACAAGAGGUGGAGAUUGGAAAGUAGCAACAGGAGUAUCCUCCAACAUGUCUGGGACGAGUUCCCAUUUCUUUUUAUCCUCAUCAUAGGCUUCUCCACAAGUAAGACAUUUUCCCUCCUCAUUUCGCCCACCGAUCACAUAAAACUUGUUAUCCAUGUAAAAACCUGAGCAGAGCCUCCUUUUCCUUUGCAUCCUUGGAAGGGUUUCCCAUGUCUUAGUAUCAGAAUUGUAUUUCUCAGCAGACUUUAGAACUGCACCAGCCUCUGUUACCCCACCAGCUACAAAAGCAAAGGGGCCACAGGAAGCCGAAGCAAACAGACACCUAGGUGUGAUCAUUGAAGGACCCUUACUCCAGCUAUUUGUUUCCAAUUCAUAUCUCCAAACAACAACACCAUCUAUCUCCCUGCCUGAAAUGAUCAGAUGAGUCCCUGCACAAACUGAUUCUUUGUCUCCUGAAGAAAAACAAGAGUCUGCUGGCAAGUCUGGAAGCUUACGACGAGAACUAAAUUGUCGAGCAAAUCCCCACCAACCACUGUCUCCAGUUGUAAAAAUAAAAACAGAUGAUUCUUUGACCCCAAGUUCCCUCCUAAUCUUAAAGAGUUCACCAGUCUUCGUAAGAGCAAAUAUUCGUUUGUUCACCAAUGGAAAUUUCCAGUACUCUGAUCUUGGAAUCCUUGCCAAAAUCUGAUUCUCUACCUCAUCACUGAGCUGGGGAACUUCGGAGUAAUCUGCAUCCUGAGGUUCUAAACUUGAGGAUCCAUCAACUCUGCCCUCGUUGGAAGAAAACGCAUACCUGCUUGGGCCUUCUAUUCUAUUGGUUUCACAAGUAGCAAUAGUUUGAGAAGUAUUGCAAGCAAUCCAUAAUCUAUUACCAGAAUCCUCCUGAAGCACCCCUUUCUUGCAAGGAUUAUUAUCAUUUCCAAUCGCACAGCCCCCUUGAUCUUCCUUUGUAUUAGUUUCGCAAGCGUCAAGCCUUUUUGAUGGGGGGCUAUUAUAAGUAAUCCAAACGUUAUUGUCAGGAUCCCGACCAAGCACUCCUUUCUUACGAGGAUUACAAUCAUUUCUGCAGACCUCACCCCCUUCAUCUUCACCCCCUAGCUCUUUUCCUUUGGACAUGGUUCAGAACCUUUCAAAAUCUUAAGUCUAUGGAUGGAAACCCAACAAAGCAAGGCUUGAAUGGAAGCCUGAAAUAGUGAAGAAACAAACCAUUACACGUAUAAACAGAAUAAAUCACAGAAAGAGAAGCAUACCAGGCAGGCAAGUCUUUAGUCCGUCAAGUCAAGAAGUAAAAGAAGGGACGGCUAUAGGAAGAGAAAUGAAAUCAUCAUCAAAACACAAGUCUCAAGAGGCUCAUUGAGUGAGAACAACCCAAGAAUUUGGAGUCAAGGAAGAGAGAGAAAAUAUAUAUGUAAAUAUAUAUUAAGGAGAGUACCCAUUAAGAGGCAGAGAAAGAUGGUGAAAGAGUUCAAUUUCAAAGCAACCCCUUUGCUGAGGAGGGGUUUUACGGAUUAAUUUAAUAUUAGGAUUAUAAUAUUCUCAAUUGAUUGAUAUUUAUUAGUAUUAAAUUGCUGAUGUUGCUUUUACUAUUAUCAUCACCGCAUCCAAUAACAAAACCCACAUCAAAACCAUUUUUAUUUUCAAGAAAAGGCAAUUCCUU